UACGUAGGGAGCAAGCGUUAUCCGGAUUUAUUGGGUGUAAAGGGUGCGUAGACGGGAGAAUAAGUUAGUUGUGAAAUCCCUCGGCUUAACUGAGGAGCUGCAACUAAAACUGUUUUUCUUGAGUGCUGGAGAGGAAAGCGGAAUUCCUAGUGUAGCGGUGAAACGCGUAGAUAUUAGGAGGAACACCAGUGGCGAAGGCGGCUUUCUGGACAGUAACUGACGUUGAGGCACGAAAGUGUGGGGAGCAAAC
rnacentral:rRNA from 1 species